UUUCACACACACACAAAACCAUGAUGUCUCUUUAUCUUAUGCUGGGGACACUGAGUCUACUUUCUCAAGUGUCCCAUCAAGAGGUCCAGUCUCCUGAAUCUCUGUCUGUUAGAGUUGGAGAUUCUCCCUCUAUUAAAUGUACUGGGACGAGUGGAGUCGAUGAUGACAUGAGCUGGUAUCUGCUGAAACCAAGAGAAGCUCCUAAACUCCUGAUCUACAAAGCCAGUAGCCUUGAAUCUGGAGUUUCAGAUCGGUUCAGUGGAAGUCAAUCUGGACUCCAUUUUACACUGACCAUUGCAGGAGUCCAGCCUGAGGAUGCAGGAGAUUAUUACUGUAUGGGGGCUUACAGUAGCUGGUUUACACAGUGAAAAACCAUCAUACAAAAACCUCCUUCAGUCAGGUGGCUCAGCGAAAGUACUGUUAUAGCUCAGAAGUUAUUAGACCCUGGGGACUACAUGCACUCUAACUCAAGUCGAAACAAAGAAUCUGUUGCUUAGUCUUAAUAAUCUCACAGAUGGCAAAAGUGCAUUUCCAAAUAUGUGACAUGAAUCCUUUUUAAAACCUACAACUGAGGAUUCAGUAUUAAUGAAACUGCAAAUUCUGUCUACGACUCUGUGAUAAACAAU